rnacentral:lncRNA from 1 species
GGGGAAGUUAUUAUUAAAAAGGAAGCAUGAGUAACAAUUGUGAAUUGGUGUUGGUUGAUGUGAUGCAUUCUUAUAUUUAUGUCAUCUAUAAAAGAAAAAGAAAGAGAAAAAUAGAAAAAUAAAAAGAAAAAGAAAAUAUAUGAAUAAGAUGAUUGCAAGUUGGUGUUUGGUUGCUCUAGUUUUCAGACAAAAGAGAAUAUAAUGAUAAAACUGUAAACAUGACGUGAUUGCUCUCUUUGCUCAUUCACAUUACCUAGAUACACC